rnacentral:rRNA from 1 species
AGAGUUUGAUCAUGGCUCAGAACGAACGCUGGCGGCAGGCUUAACACAUGCAAGUCGAACGCCCCGCAAGGGAGUGGCAGACGGGUGAGUAACGCGUGGGAAUCUACCCAGAUCUUCGGAACAACUGAGGGAAACUUCAGCUAAUACCGGAUACGCCCUACGGGGGAAAGAUUUAUCGGAUCUGGAUGAGCCCGCGUUGGAUUAGCUAGUUGGUGAGGUAAUGGCUCACCAAGGCGACGAUCCAUAGCUGGUCUGAGAGGAUGAUCAGCCACACUGGGACUGAGACACGGCCCAGACUCCUACGGGAGGCAGCAGUGGGGAAUAUUGGACAAUGGGCGAAAGCCUGAUCCAGCCAUGCCGCGUGAGUGAUGAAGGCCUUAGGGUUGUAAAGCUCUUUCAGUAGGGAAGAUAAUGACGGUACCUACAGAAGAAGCCCCGGCUAACUUCGUGCCAGCAGCCGCGGUAAUACGAAGGGGGCCAGCGUUGUUCGGAUUUACUGGGCGUAAAGCGCACGUAGGCGGAUCGUUAAGUCGGGGGUGAAAUCCUGGAGCUCAACUCCAGAACUGCCUUCGAUACUGGCGAUCUUGAGUCCGGAAGAGGUGAGUGGAACUCCUAGUGUAGAGGUGGAAUUCGUAGAUAUUAGGAAGAACACCAGUGGCGAAGGCGGCUCACUGGUCCGGUACUGACGCUGAGGUGCGAAAGCGUGGGGAGCAAACAGGAUUAGAUACCCUAGUAGUCC